CCUACGGGGGGCAGCAGUGAGGAAUAUUGGUCAAUGGACGAGAGUCUGAACCAGCCAAGUAGCGUGAAGGAUGACUGCCCUAUGGGUUGUAAACUUCUUUUAUAUGGGAAUAAAAUGUUCCACGUGUGGGAUUUUGUAUGUACCAUAUGAAUAAGGAUCGGCUAACUCCGUGCCAGCAGCCGCGGUAAUACGGAGGAUCCGAGCGUUAUCCGGUUUUAUUGGGUUUAAAGGGAGCGUAGGUGGAUUGUUAAGUCAGUUGUGAAAGUUUGCGGCUCAACCGUAAAAUUGCAGUUGAAACUGGCAGUCUUGAGUACAGUAGAGGUGGGCGGAAUUCGUGGUGUAGCGGUGAAAUGCUUAGAUAUCACGAAGAACUCCGAUUGCGAAGGCAGUUCACUGGACUGCAACUGACACUGAGGCUCGAAAGUGUGGGUAUCAAACAGGAUUAGAUACCCUUGUAGUC
rnacentral:rRNA from 1 species